UACGUAGGCAGCAAGCGUUGUUCGGAGUUACUGGGCGUAAAGGGUGUGUAGGCGGUCUUCUAAGUUUGGUGUGAAAUCUCCCGGCUCAACUGGGAGGGUGCGCCGAAAACUGGGAGGCUAGAGUGUGGGAUGGGAGAGUGGAAUUCCUGGUGUAGCGGUGAAAUGCGCAGAUAUCAGGAAGAACACCCGUGGCUAAGGCGGCUCUCUAGUACGGUACUGACGCUGAGACGCGAAAGCGUGGGGAGCGAACAGG
rnacentral:rRNA from 1 species